GAUGAACGCUGGCGGCGUGCCUAAUACAUGCAAGUCGAGCGAACAGAUAAGGAGCUUGCUCCUUUGACGUUAGCGGCGGACGGGUGAGUAACACGUGGGUAACCUACCUAUAAGACUGGAAUAACUCCGGGAAACCGGGGCUAAUGCCGGAUAACAUUUAGAACCGCAUGGUUCUAAAGUGAAAGAUGGUUUUGCUAUCACUUAUAGAUGGACCCGCGCCGUAUUAGCUAGUUGGUAAGGUAACGGCUUACCAAGGCAACGAUACGUAGCCGACCUGAGAGGGUGAUCGGCCACACUGGAACUGAGACACGGUCCAGACUCCUACGGGAGGCAGCAGUAGGGAAUCUUCCGCAAUGGGCGAAAGCCUGACGGAGCAACGCCGCGUGAGUGAUGAAGGACUUCGGAUCGUAAAACUCUGUUAUUAGGGAAGAACAAAUGUGUAAGUAACUGUGCACGUCUUGACGGUACCUAAUCAGAAAGCCACGGCUAACUACGUG
rnacentral:rRNA from 1 species